ACUGAUACCCUGAAAGGCCGCACAGUUCAAAGCGGCCUUAUCCCAUUUGAAU
rnacentral:ncRNA from 1 species